GACGAACGCUGGCGGCGUGCCUAAUACAUGCAAGUCGAACGCACAGUUUAUACCGUAGCUUGCUACACCAUAGACUGUGAGUUGCGAACGGGUGAGUAACGCGUAGGUAACCUGCCUGGUAGCGGGGGAUAACUAUUGGAAACGAUAGCUAAUACCGCAUAAUAUUGAUUAUUGCAUGAUAAUUAAUUGAAAGGUGCAAUUGCACCACUACCAGAUGGACCUGCGUUGUAUUAGCUAGUAGGUGAGGUAACGGCUCACCUAGGCGACGAUACAUAGCCGACCUGAGAGGGUGAUCGGCCACACUGGGACUGAGACACGGCCCAGAGUGCUACGGGAGGCAGCAGUAGGGAAUCGUCGGGAAUGGACGAAAGUCUGACCGAGCAACGCCGAGUGAGUGAAGAAGGUUGUCGGAUCGUAAAGCUCGGUUGUAAGAGAAGAAAGGGUGUGAGAGUGGAAAGUUCACACUGUGACGGUAACUUACAAGAAAGGGACGGCUAACUACGUG
rnacentral:rRNA from 1 species